CAUAUGAAUAAUUUUGGAGAAUAUAAUUUACAGAGUAUUCUGCAAGGGUAUAUCAACUUCGGCUCCGCCCGAAGUUAGCUUUCCUUUCUUGUUUGGUGUUAUAUCGUAAGAAAUGGCUUUCAAAUUAGUACAAAAUUAGGUAGGAACUUUUAUCUAUUAAAUGUGCUAUCUCCACUGGAUAAAAUAUAUUCAAAUUUCCAAAGUCAAAAAAAGGUGUUGUAUUAAAAACUUAAUAAGGUAGGGUUUCUUAAUAAGAUUUGCCCAAUCAAGAUCGAAAACUUCUCAAUAGCUGAAAUUGUUACCAAUUUGACAGGUAGGACUUUUAAAACAUAUGGUAAUCACUCGUGACUAUUUGGGGUUAUUUCGUAGAAAAUUAUUAACGAAUUAGAGAAAAAUUAGGUAGGAACUUAAAUCGGUCGAACUGACUAUCUCCACUUCAUAAAUAUUUGCAAAAUUAAAAAAUCAAAAUAAGUGCUGUGUUAAAAAAUGAAUAAGGUAGGGUGUCUUUAUAAGGUUUGCCCAUGCAAGAUCGUACACUUUUUAAUAUCUGAAAUAUUUAGAAAAUCGCAAGGUAGGGCUUUUAAAACAUAUGGUAAUCCCUCGUGAUUUUUUGUUGUUAUAUCGUAAGAAAUGGCUUUCAAAUUAGUACAAAAUUAGGUAGGAACUUUUAUCUAUUAAAUGUGCUAUCUCCACUGGAUAAAAUAUAUUCAAAUUUCCAAAGUCAAAAAAAGGUGUUGUAUUAAAAACUUAAUAAGGUAGGGUUUCUUAAUAAGAUUUGCCCAAUCAAGAUCGUAAACUUCUCAAUAGCUGAAAUUGUUACCAAUUCGACAGGUAGGACUUUUAAAACAUAUGGUAAUCACUCGUGACUAUUUGGGGUUAUUUCGUAAAAAAUUAUUAACGAAUUAGAGAAAAAUUAGGUAGGAACUUAAAUCGGUCGAACUGACUAUCUCCACUUCAUAAAUAUUUGCAAAAUUAAAAAAUCAAAAUAAGUGCUGUGUUAAAAAAUGAAUAAGGUAGGGUGUCUUUAUAAGGUUUGCCCAUGCAAGAUCGUACACUUUUUAAUAUCUGAAAUAUUUAGAAAAUCGCAAGGUAGGGCUUUUAAAACAUAUGGUAAUCCCUCGUGAUUUUUUGGUGUUAUAUCGUAAGAAAUGGCUUUCAAAUUAGUACAAAAUUAAGUAAGAACUUUUAUCUAUUAAAUGUGCUAUCUCUACUGGAUAAAAUAUAUUCAAAUUUCCAAAGUCAAAAAAAGGUGUGGUAUUAAAAACUUAAUAAGGUAGGGUUUCUCAAUAAGAUUUGCCCAAUCAAGAUCGUAAACUUCUCAAUAGCUGAAAUUGUUACCAAUCCGACAGGUAGGACUUUUAAAACAUAUGGUUAUCACUCGUGACUAUUUGGGGUUAUAUCGUAAAAAAUUAUUAACGAAUUAGAGAAAAAUUAGGUAGGAACUUAAAUCGGUCGAACUGACUAUCUCCACUUCAUAAAUAUUUGAUAAAUUAAAAAAUCAAAAUAAGUGCUGUAUUAAAAACUGAAUAAGGUAGGGUGUCUUUAUAAGGUUUGCCCAUGCAAGAUCGUACACUUUUUAAUAUCUGAAAUAUUUAGAAAAUCGCAAGGUAGGGCUUUUAAAACAUAUGGUAAUCCCUCGUGAUUUUUUGUUGUUAUAUCGUAAGAAAUGGCUUUCAAAUUAGUAUAAAAUUAGGUAGGAACUUUUAUCUAUUAAAUGUGCUAUCUCUACUGGAUAAAAUAUAUUCAAAUUUCCAAAGUCAAAAAAAGGUGUGGUAUUAAAAACUUAAUAAGGUAGGGUUUCUCAAUAAGAUUUGCCCAAUCAAGAUCGUAAACUUCUCAAUAGCUGAAAUUGUUACCAAUUCGACAGGUAGGACUUUUAAAACAUAUGGUAAUCACUCGUGACUAUUUGGGGUUA